rnacentral:rRNA from 1 species
GAUGAACGCUAGCGGCAGGCCUAAUACAUGCAAGUCGGGCGGCAAGGGAAGUAGCAAUACAACCCCUAGAGCGGCGGACGGGUGCGUAACGCGUAUGCAACCUGCCCCUUACCGGGGGAUAGCCCGGGGAAACCCGGAUUAAUACCCCAUAGUAUAUAUUGACCGCAUGGUUUUUAUAUUAAAGAUUUAUCGGUAAGGGAUGGGCAUGCGUAGGAUUAGUUAGUUGGCGGGGUAACGGCCCACCAAGACUUUGAUCCUUAGGGGUUCUGAGAGGAAGGUCCCCCACACUGGCACUGAGAUACGGGCCAGACUCCGACGGGAGGCAGCAGUAGGGAAUAGUGGGCAAUGGGCGGGAGCCUGACCCAGCCAUGCCGCGUGCAGGAAGAAGGCGUUAUGCGUUGUAAACUGCUUUUAUACGGGAAGAAAAGGCCCAUGCGUGGGACAUUGCCGGUACCGUAUGAAUAAGCACCGGCUAACUCCGUGCCAGCAGCCGCCGUAAUAC